UACGAAGGGGGCUAGCGUUGUUCGGAAUUACUGGGCGUAAAGCGCAUGUAGGCGGCGAUUCAAGUCGGGGGUGAAAUCCUGGAGCUCAACUCCAGAACUGCCUUCGAUACUGCAUUGCUGGAGUAUGGAAGAGGUAGGUGGAACUGCGAGUGUAGAGGUGAAAUUCGUAGAUAUUCGCAAGAACACCAGUGGCGAAGGCGGCCUACUGGUCCAUCACUGACGCUGAGAUGCGAAAGCGUGGGGAGCAAACAGG
rnacentral:rRNA from 1 species